ACAGCAGAGGUUAUGAAAAGGAGAUAGUGAUGUGGCUUUAUGAGAGGCAGGGAUAAGAAGUACUUUUAAUUGUCUCUUUUGUUUCACAGUUCCAUCUGCUGUGACCCCUCACAUCUCCAAAGGUAGUACUCACAACCAUCCUACCAUCCUGGCAAGUGCUACAUGUGUAAUGGCAGUUUCUCUCCAUGACACCCAGUGUAGAGGACAACCCCCCUUGACCUCCACCUUCCACCAUCUCUGACAUCAGGAAGGAUGCUGUUUGGAGGGGGAGAAGGACCUGUCUUUAUUGGUGAAAAACUGAGCAAAGUGCU